GAUGAACGCUGGCGGCGUGCCUAAUACAUGCAAGUCGAGCGAACAGACGAGGAGCUUGCUCCUCUGACGUUAGCGGCGGACGGGUGAGUAACACGUGGAUAACCUACCUAUAAGACUGGGAUAACUUCGGGAAACCGGAGCUAAUACCGGAUAAUAUAUUGAACCGCAUGGUUCAAUAGUGAAAGACGGUUUUGCUGUCACUUAUAGAUGGAUCCGCGCCGCAUUAGCUAGUUGGUAAGGUAACGGCUUACCAAGGCAACGAUGCGUAGCCGACCUGAGAGGGGGAUCGGCCACACUGGAACUGAGACGCGGUCCAGACUCCUACGGGAGGCAGCAGUAGGGAAUCUUCCGCAAUGGGCGAAAGCUUGACGGAGCAACGCCGCGUGAGUGAUGAAGGUCUUCGGAUCGUAAAACUCUGUUAUUAGGGAAGAACAAAUGUGUAAGUAACUAUGCACGUCUUGACGGUACCUAAUCAGAAAGCCACGGCUAACUACGUG
rnacentral:rRNA from 1 species